rnacentral:lncRNA from 1 species
GCCCCACUGAAGUCAACGAGAAACAGAUGGUGAGAAACAUUUCUGCUCUUCCACACCUAGGAUGCGGUUCUGCUCUGAGCAUCCAGCACCAGUGAGGCAAUCUGCUUUUCAUUUAUGGGCAGAGAAAAGCCACAGAGGAAGGAAUGAGGGAGGCCAUAGUUCUCAGAGUGUCGGAGGAGUUGAUGCAAUAAUAAUUCAAUUCCCCCUACUCUGAAAAGCAAGGCAGUCCAACCCGGCAGGAUGCCUGCAGCCAGGGCUGUAAACUCCAGCUCACCUCAGGCUACCUCCAGCUGAGCAAGCCCACACCAGAACCUGUGGGCCUGAACUCUUGCAGGGGAAGAGUUCAAACAGGGCCUUUUCCAGUUUGCAUCAUGUGGCAGAGCCCUGUAGCCAAUCAGCUGGAAGCGAGUUCCAGGUCUGGCGGCAUCUUUGCAGCCUCUCACCUGCCAGGAUUGCUCCCCCUGUGGUCUUCCUCUGCCUGCUUCCCAGGGCAGGGCUCCAUCCAGCGUCAUUUGAUGGAGCUUUCACAUGCCAUUCCCCAAUAAAAUAAAAUGCCCUGAAGUGACCCCGGCCCCCUGUACUCUUCCAUUCUCUGCCGGUUCCAUAGCAUCCAGCACAACUACAAGCCUCCCUGCAGUUGAUUAUAUCCCAAUCAUAUCCAAUAAUAAAAUUCCACGAGGAUUAAAUCAUUUAAAUUGUCUCUUUUUGCCAAGACUUUAAGCUCUCUAAGGGCAACAGACGUGUUUACUCCAGGUGCUACAUCAGGAAUCAGAAAAGGCAUUUGUACUUGUAAUACACCAAACUGGAAACAGCCCAAAUGUCUAUCACUGAGUGAAGAGAGAAACAAAUUAUCUUAUUUCCAUACAAUGAGAUACUGCUCAGCUAAAAAAAAGAACAAAUUAUCCAUAACAUGCUAUAACAUGGGUGAAUCUCAAAAUCGUAGGCUGAGUGUAAGAUAUAAAUGAUAUCUACUGUAUGAUAAUUUACAUAAAAAUCUAGACAAAGCAAAACUCAUCUAUAUUGACAGG